UACAUAGGAACGUACCAUUUGGUGGGGAAUAAUCACGGGAAACUGUGGCUAAUACCGCAUGGUGUCGUAAGACUAAAGAGGGCCUCUAUUUAUAAGCUCUCGCCAACUGAGCGGCCUAUGUCCCAUUAGCUAGUUGGUAGGGUAAUGGCCUACCAAGGCGACGAUGGGUAGCUGGUCUGAGAGGAUGAUCAGCCACACUGGGACUGAGACACGGCCCAG
rnacentral:rRNA from 1 species